UACGGAGGGUGCAAACGUUGCUCGGAAUCAUUGGGCGUAAAGGGCUCGUAGGCGGUCUGUUGCGUCAGGAGUGAAAACUCGGGGCUUAACCCCGAGCCUGCUUCUGAUACGGGCAGACUAGAGGUAUGCAGGGGAGAACGGAAUUCCUGGUGUAGCGGUGAAAUGCGCAGAUAUCAGGAGGAACACCGGUGGCGAAGGCGGUUCUCUGGGCAUUACCUGACGCUGAGGAGCGAAAGUGUGGGGAGCGAACAGG
rnacentral:rRNA from 1 species